AUGUACGGGAACGACAACUGGAUCAACAGCUACCUGGACGCCAUCCUCGACGCGGGGAAGGGCGCGGGCUCGGGGAGCGGCGGCGGCGGCGGCGGGGGCGCGGGCGGGGACCGGCCCUCGCUCCUCCUCCGCGAGCGCGGCCACUUCUCCCCGGCGCGCUACUUCGUCGAGGAGGUCAUCACCGGCUACGACGAGACCGACCUCUACAAGACGUGGUCCCGCGCGAACGCGAUGCGGAGCCCGCAGGAGAGGAACACGCGGCUGGAGAACAUGACCUGGAGGAUCUGGAACCUCGCCAGGAAGAAGAAGGAGGUUGAGGAUGCCAAACGGUUAAAACGUCGCUUAGAGACAGAGAAGCCACGGACUGAUGCUACUGCAGAAAUGUCUGAAGAUCUCUUUGAAGGAGAAAAAGGCGAGGAUGCUGGUGAUGCAUCUGUUGCCUAUGGUGACAGCUCAGCUGGGAACACACCUAGGAUCAGUGCCGUUGACAAGCUAUACAUAGUAUUGAUCAGCCUUCAUGGCCUGGUUCGUGGUGAGAACUUGGAGCUUGGCCGGGAUUCAGAUACUAGUGGGCAGGUCAAAUAUGUUGUGGAACUUGCUAAAGCAUUGAGUUCAUGCCCUGGAGUAUACCGGGUUGAUCUGUUGACGAGGCAAAUAUUAGCACCUAAUUAUGAUCGUGGAUAUGGUGAACCGUCAGAGACACUGGUACCAACAAGCUUCAAGAAUCUUAAACAGGAAAGAGGAGAGAACAGUGGUGCAUAUAUCACCCGAAUACCAUUUGGACCGAAAGACAAGUAUCUAGCUAAAGAACAUCUAUGGCCUUAUGUGCAAGAAUUUGUUGAUGGUGCACUCAGUCAUAUAGUGCACAUGUCAAAGAUCAUAGGUGAAGAAAUCGGCUGUGGACAUCCAAUGUGGCCUGCUGUGAUUCAUGGUCAUUAUGCCAGUGCAGGAGUUGCUGCUGCUCUGAUAUCUGGAGCACUUAACGUUCACAUGGUAUUUACUGGGCAUUUUCUUGGGAAAGACAAGUUGGAAGGGCUUCUCAAGCAAGGGAGACAGACAAGGGAAGAAAUAAAUAUGACAUACAAAAUAAUGCGCCGAAUUGAAGCAGAAGAAUUAUCUCUUGAUGCAUCUGAAAUAGUAAUUGCAAGUACUAGACAAGAGAUAGAAGAGCAAUGGAAUUUGUAUGAUGGUUUUGAGGUCAUGCUUGCAAGGAAGCUUCGUGCGAGAGUCAAGCGUGGUGCUAAUUGCUAUGGACGUUACAUGCCUCGUAUGGUUAUAAUUCCUCCAGGUGUUGAAUUUGGCCAUAUGAUUCAUGAAUUUGAUAUGGAAGGCGAGGAAGAUAGCCAUUCCCCAGCCUCUGAAGAUCCGCCUAUUUGGUCUGAGAUAAUGCGGUUCUUCACAAAUCCUAGGAAACCUUUGAUUCUGGCUGUUGCUCGUCCAUACCCUGAAAAGAAUAUUACAACACUUGUGAAAGCUUUUGGUGAAUGCAGACCAUUGAGGGAGCUUGCUAACCUAACACUGAUUAUGGGUAACCGUGAAGCUAUUUCCAAAAUGAGUAAUAUGAGUGCAGCUGUUUUGACAUCAGUACUUACAUUGAUUGAUGAAUAUGAUUUGUAUGGUCAAGUGGCAUACCCAAAGCAUCACAAACACUCAGAAGUUCUUGAUAUUUAUCGUUUAGCAGCGAGAACGAAGGGUGCUUUUGUAAAUGUAGCUUACUUUGAACAAUUCGGUGUUACCUUGAUAGAGGCUGCCAUGCAUGGUUUACCUGUAAUUGCAACAAAAAAUGGAGCUCCUGUUGAAAUUCACCAGGUGUUGGACAACGGCCUGCUUGUUGAUCCCCACGAUCAGCAUGCAAUUGCAGAUGCACUCUAUAAGCUUCUUUCUGACAAGCAACUCUGGUCAAGAUGUAGAGAAAAUGGGCUGAAAAAUAUACACCGGUUUUCUUGGCCUGAACAUUGCAAGAAUUACUUGUCGAGGAUAUUAACUCUUAGCCCAAGAUACCCUGCUUUUCCGGGCAAUGAAGACCAGAUUAAGGCACCUAUCAAGGAAAGGAAGUGUAUCAUCGUUAUUGCUGUAGACUCUGCCAGCAAGAAAGAUCUGGUCUGUAUCAUAAAAAAUUCUAUUGAGGCUACACGUAAAGAAACGUUGUCAGGUUCAACAGGUUUUGUGUUGUCGACUUCCCUGACAAUGUCAGAGAUACAUUCCCUAUUAAUAUCUGCAGGCAUGGCUCCUACAGAUUUUGAUGCUUUCAUAUGCAAUAGUGGGAGUGAUUUAUUUUACCCUUCGCGGGCUGGUGAUUCACCAAGCACUUCCCGCGUGACAUUUGCAUUAGACCGUACUUACCAGUCUCAUAUCGAGUAUCGUUGGGGAGGAGAAGGUUUAAGGAAGUACCUAGUGAAGUGGGCUUCCUCGAUAGUAGAAAGAAGGGGAAGAACUGAAAAACAGGUUAUUUUUGAAGAUGCAGAGCACUCCUCAACAUGCUGCUUUGCAUUUAGAGUGGUCAAUCCAAAUUAUUUACCUCCUUUGAAGGAGCUGCAAAAGUUGAUGAGAAUCCAGUCACUGCGUUGCCAUGCUCUUUAUAACCACAGUGCUACCAGGCUAUCUGUAAUUCCAAUUCAUGCAUCACGGUCCCAGGCUCUAAGGUACUUGUCUGUUCGUUGGGGCAUAGAGUUGCGAAACGUCGUGAUUCUUGUUGGUGAAAGCGGCGACUCAGAUUACGAAGAGCUGUUUGGAGGCCUUCACAAGACGAUUGUCCUGAAGGGCGAGUUCAACACACCCGCAAACAGGAUCCACACGGUCAGGCGGUACCCGCUACAAGACGUCAUCGCGCUCGAUUGCUCAAACAUCAUCGGGGUCGAGGGCUGCAGUGCCGACGACCUGACGCCUACUCUGAAGACGCUCGGCAUACCGACAAAGUGA
rnacentral:rRNA from 1 species